rnacentral:rRNA from 1 species
UACAGAGGUCCCAAGCGUUGUUCGGAUUCACUGGGCGUAAAGGGUGCGUAGGUGGCGGGGUAAGUCUGACGUGAAAUCUCCAAGCUCAACUUGGAAACUGCGUCGGAUACUAUUCUGCUCGAGGGUUGGAGGGGGGACUGGAAUACUUGGUGUAGCAGUGAAAUGCGUAGAUAUCAAGUGGAACACCAGUGGCGAAGGCGAGUCCCUGGACAACUCCUGACACUGAGGCACGAAAGCCGGGGGAGCAAACAGG